GUUACACAAGGGGUACCAAAGUCCACUCUGAGCUUUUCCUCUGGGAACAGAUCCCAGAUUAUUCCAGACUUAAGACAUGGAGAUAUAUCUUGCUAGAGCCCCCAGUAUAUAUUCAGUGUGUCCUCUGAAGUAACAACCAUCCCAUCUGGCUGAGAAGUGAUGGACACGGCUCCUUAACCACACUGUACCCUCUGUUCUUGGCACCUCUCUACCAGAAAGAUAUCAACAAAUUGGAUGGAAUUCAGAGAACAUGACUUCCUAUUAUCCUUCUCAAAGUUAUUGCUGCAGAGGAAAGAAGCAUACAUCUUUUACCCACCAGGAAACCCCCAAAGCAUCUAUUACCAUAAUAGCCAUGGGAAACAGAAGGCACCUCAAAUAAAGGUGGGGAAAAGAAUGAAAGAAAUGGCUUUGGCCUGUGCCUGUUUGACCUCUGAGAGAUACUUUUUGCAAGAAAUUGUUAAGUUUUGGCCCAAAAAGUGGUCGGUCUUUUAUCCUUCCUUGUGGAGGCCAAACUGCAAACCAGGAUGAAGAAACCAUCAGUGGCAGUUUGGGGAGGUGGAGGAGGGACUAUCUAGACUCAGUGAAUCACCAAGGAAACAUGAGGCCUAUUUCUCUGUGAAGCUGAACUUCAAAAAACAAUCUAAGAGAUACAAAGGGAAAAGUGUGACUGCUCUGACAGCAAAAACAAGCAAAUAUCUCCAGAGGGGAUUAAUCCUUCUGCUUCAAAGUAACUAAAACAAAGAAAGCUGAGCCAGCUUCACUGGAAACAACACCUGUCCAUCAGACAAGGAUGAGCUAAUCAAAAGAAAACACUGCCUAUGUGCACGACUCAGCAGCCUGGACAGCUAAUACCAAGGAACACGUUUUCACUAUAAAGAUUCAGCUUUCAAAAUCCAGUUCCCUCUUGUAGAGCCACAGGGUUAAAAGGGACCUUAGAGAUCAUCUACAUACAGGCCAAACCCUCAAUGAAUGCCAGUGUUCGCCUUAUGUUCUUCUUGCCGGACUCUUUUCUGGCCUCUGUUCUGUCAGGAUGUUUCCUGUUUUGCAAAACAGCUUUAAUCCUUGAGUAUAUUUAAUUGUUAGAAAACAGUUCCUCAAAUUUGACCCCAAAUUUAAGUCUAAUUUAUGAAGAAAGUUUUGCCUUUGGAGACAGGUUUAAUUUUACUUCCAUGUGGAAAACCUUCAAAUAAAAUGAUGACUAUUGUGUACUCA
rnacentral:lncRNA from 1 species